rnacentral:rRNA from 1 species
AGAAUCAACGCUGGCGGCGUGCCUAACACAUGCAAGUCGAACGAGAAAGUGGAGCAAUCCAUGAGUAAAGUGGCGCACGGGUGAGUAACACGUGACUAACCUACCUUUUAGUGGGGGAUAACCUAGGGAAACCUGGGCUAAUACCGCAUAACACUUACGAGUCAAAGCAGCAAUGCGCUGAAAGAGGGGGUCGCGGCCGAUUAGCUAGUUGGCGGGGUAAGGGCCCACCAAGGCAGUGAUCGGUA